AAAACAUGAUGAGGACACUGAUUGGUGUAGCUUCUAAACCGUUCCCAAGCUUCUCCAAAGCUUUCGUUAUUGUGUUGUGUAAAGCUUGAGAUCUGGUUCCUCAGCUU
rfam:Eutrema salsugineum unplaced genomic scaffold scaffold_4, whole genome shotgun sequence.